UCCAGCAAUAAUGCUGCUCCACUGCCUUUCCAUUCGCCUUCUGCGAGGUUUCCUGCAAGCCCUGACAUUCCUUGGCUUGCUAGAUGCCAUCACCCCAGUUUCUGCCCCAUCAUCACAUGGCCUCCUCAUCUUGCGUGUCUGCCUCUGCAUUUCCUCUUAUUCUUCUAAGGACACGACACCAGUCUAUAUGUGGAUUAAGGGUCCACUCCUAACUAAUUCACUAUCUGCCAACAACCCUAUUUCCAAAUAAAGUCACAUUCUAAGAUUCCUAGGGAGAACAUGAAUUUUUGGGGGCGUGUGGAUACUGUUCAACCUGGGACAUGGAGUAAAUAAAUGGCAAGGAAGAUUACAGAUGACUUUAAGCUAAAGAGGGAGAUAGGGUUAAAUGUAGGACUUUUUUUUUCCAGGACGGGAGAGGUUUAAACAUGUUACUACAUUGAAUAAAUGAAAUAACCAUGAACAUGGAGUGGCUAAAGAUUCUGAACUAAGUGCAAGUAAUUGAUACACGUCCAUGGAUAAGGGGAACGAAUGGCGCUAGCCAUUCUACCUGCACCUCCUUCAGCCAACUGUGUGGCUUUACCCCAGCUGCAUAUUUGUGUGGCGCCUGAGCUCUGAGAUGACCAUCAGCAUGAGGCAGCAUCUGGCCGAGUUGCGCCAGCGUCAGCGGGGCGGCAAGCAGCAAGGACCAUCCUCUCCCCAAAGGGCUUCUGGACCCAACCGGCACCAGGCCCCAUCAAUGCUGUCUCCUGGACCGGCUCUCUCAUCAGACAGUGACAAGGGGGGAGAAGAUGAGGGGACUGAAGAAGAACUUCCAGCACUGCCCGUCCUUGCCAAGAGUACCAAGAAGGCACUGGGUCUGUGGCAGUUGGGUGUGGGGGCAGACAGGUCCUAGUUGGUAUGAUGGUUAGAUAUGGUUUUUCUGAGACUGUGGGGUGAGAGCAGUGUGAGCUGAGGAAACUGAGGCAUCAUUGUGGCCACACAGGGUAUGGGCUGAUGGGGCCAGGGCUCCAGGGUUGGGUGGGGGCGGGGGGGCAGGAGACACUUCCUCUGACUGCCUGUUUCUGUCUAGCCUCGGUCCUCAGCCCAGCCUUGCCCCGAAGCCUGUCCCAUUGGGAGAUGAGUCGGGUGAGUCACCAUUGUUAAAAUGUUCUUCCAAGGUUAGAGGAGGCAAAGGGAGCUGUGAGAACAGGGCUCUCUGGGCCUGGUAGGGUACUGGGGCAUGGGGUCUGCCCACAUGCUGCACUCCUGUGUCCAAGGAAGGCCUUGUCGGGGAAGUUGAAGCAGCUGGGCCGGUCCUGGGUGCGGGGUGAAGAAAGCCCAGGUAUUUCCUUCCUGUGGACCAGUUGGGGUGGAUGGAGCACAGGGUUAGUCAGCACUGGGGAGGUGGGGCACUUGUUCAGCUGCCUGGUGCCUGGAAGUAAAUAUCAUCAGAGAAGAGCUC
rnacentral:lncRNA from 1 species